CAGCCCAUCGCCACUCAGCCUGGAGAGAGCAAUUUGUACCCCCCCCCAAUUCAUCCACCUCAUCUUAUCACAGCGAUACCGCAAUGCUCCGCCAAACGGGAAGAAGGAUUAUGCAAAUUGAAAAUCAGCUUUUCGGGGAAAGUGGGCUAAUCCAAUAUUACUGAGCAGGCCUGCAGUGGACUGGAAAACGGACCGAGGGGGAUGUGUAGGUAGGGGCGAUUAUUUUUUAUAUUUUUAUUUUUGGAUUGGAGGGGGUGGGAACUGUAUACAUGUGUGCAAAAACUGCUCAAAGCCAGUUACUUGAGAGACCACCAUGUCCUCUAUUUACUCCAGUAGCUUGGAGGAAGGAGAAAUCUGGUUUUGUUCCCGUUUUAAUGAGAAACUGCUCUGUCCUUUCUCCUUCUCCCCGUAUGUGAACCCAAGCACGGUUUGAAAUUUGCACUUUUAAAUUGUAUUGCUCUUAUAUCCCCCCCCCGCAAGGAACUCAAAGGGGUGGCUUACACAGUCCUUCCCCCCUCCACAUUUAAUCCCAACAUGAACCCUGUGAAGUAGGUUAGACUGAGAGGCAGGGGCUGGUCCAGGGUUGCUGAAUUCCAAUCCUCUGCAUCUCUGACCACUGCAGCUUUGCAGGUGCACAGAAUAAACCUCUGCUUUUAGAUGUUAAUUCAGGGUUGUGCAACUUCUGACCCUCCAGAUGUUGCUGGACUACAACUCCCAUUAUCCCUGGCCAUUGGUCGCACUCGCAGGGGCUGAUGGGAGUUGUAGUUCAGCAACAUCUGAAGGGCCAUACCUGCUCUAUAGCCUCUCUGUUAUCUCUUGCUGAGCAUCCUCCAUAUGAGGCUGAACAGAUAUGUCAUGACUGACCCUCAGGGAAAGGUUGUUUUUUCCCCUCAGUAAGAUCUGAGGUAAAACUCUGCAUUUUCCUUUUAGCUCAUCUAUAAACAACGGGAGUGUCAGGAGUUUUCUCUCUCUUCCAUCUCUGAAGAGGCUUCACACGGCCGGUUCUAGGAGACCCCAACAGGGACAAAAGCAGCCCCCGGUUCUUCCUCUGCUGGCACUGGGUCUGUGGCCCUGAUCCCUGGGCCCAUAACCAUUGUCAGGAGUGCAGCUUACACUCGAGUAGGACUCUGGCAGAGACACAUGCCCGACUGGCAUGUUCCCUCCCUCCUGGUCGAUCGUUUGGGAGCUUCAGAAGCUUUCUUCAGCCCGAACAUCACAGCGACCAAUGCCAACCGACACCGGCACACUUAUGGAUCUACAGAGUUUGCGCAACUUGCGUUACAGAACUCAGCAUACGGUGGUACCUCUGGUUAUGUACUUAAUUCGUUCUAGAGGUCCGUUCUUAACCUUAAUCUGUUCUUAACCUGAAGCACCAC